AUUAUGUUCAUUAUUUAAACCUCUGCAUUUCCUGUUUGUCUUGUCGGUGAUUGUUUGUCCGUUUAGUGUAGUUGGAGGUGUUUUCUCCAGACUAUGUAUUUUUAAGAGAAGAUGGAUUGAAUAAUUUUAGUAAACACGUUUUGUUUACCUUCAUCCCUGCGCCUGACUCCUCCACUUCUCUAAGAAGAUCCAUUACAGCGUCAUUUCACUGUAUAAGUCAUCACAUGCACAAUAGUCUGUUCAAUUGUCAAAAUUAGUAAAGAACAUAAUACCAUGAAUCCCUUGGAACAUUUGAUACAUUUAUUACAGCAAUUGACAGUCAGGUGAAACUAGACUGACGAAGGAGGAGUUUCACACAUCUCAGAUGACCAAUCAAACAGUAUGUUUAGUUACCUGACAGGUGCUGUCCAUGACUGUGAAUGCUGCCAAACAUGUAUGUAAAGAGCUUGACCAUGCAGGACCAGUACAAUUUCUGAACAUGGAGGCAACUGGCCAAGUAAAUGAACAAGGGCAACUGCCUGCUCGAGGAAGAGGAAGAAGAGGAGGAGUAAGGGUGCGUGGUGGUGGAAUAGGGGGAAGAGGCCGAGGAGCACGAAGACACCAUGCUGUCCCGGAUGAAAUUCGGGUCACAAUUAUAGACCAUGUCAUCAACCAUGGCCUCACAAUGGCGGAGGCAGGUCGCCGAGUGCAGCCUAAUGUGCCUUGCUCAACAGUCUCCUCCAUCAUCCAAACCUUUCGCAGGGAAACAGGAUUGGACGACAACCUUGCACGGGUGGCAGAGGAAAACUUCUCAAUGAACAACGAGAACAACAGAUCUGUAACAUGGUGAUGGCAAAUAAUGCCAUCACAUUGAGACAGAUCCGCGCUGCAAUCCUACAAGACAAUGCCAUAUUCCAAAAUGUCAACUCUAUAAGCAACUCCACAAUAGACCGGAUAUUGAAGAAGCAUCAGAUGACAAUGAAGCAAAUUUACAGGGUACCAUUUGAGAGGAACUCUGAUAGAGUGAAAGAGCUGCGGUACCAGUAUGUACAUAGAAUAAUGGCAUUGGAAGGAAACGAGACCCAUCACAUCCUCGUGUUCGUUUGAUGAAGCUGGCUUCAACCUGGCCAAGGGCCGAAGACGUGGCCGUAAUAUUAUUGGCCACCGGGCCACGGCGGAUGUCCCAGGCCAGCGAGGGGGCAAUAUAACUAUGUGUGCUGCCACAUCUGAGAAUGGUGUGGCCACUCACAUCCCCAGUCUUGGCCCAUACAAUACACAGAAGCUCCUCAUCUUCUUGGACAGCCUUCAUUUUUGAUUUGAUCCCUGAAAAUGAGAGAGGUCUCGUAGGGCCUCACCUACCACAAUAUGUCAUUGUAUGGGACAAUGUGAAUUUCCACCGUGGCCCGCUCAUCAGGGCCUGGUUCAAUACUCAUCCAAGGAUGGUCAUGGUGUUCCUACCACCUUACUCUCCUUUCCUCAAUCCUAUUGAGGAGUAUUUCUCCGCUUGGAGGUGGAGAGUGUAUGAGCAUCGGGCUCAAGAUCAGAGGUCCCUGCUCCAUGCAAUGGACGCUGCGUGUGAGGAUAUUACAGGAGAUCAGUGUAGGGGAUGGUUGCGACAUGCACGCCG